CUCUAGAUGAUGUGACUACUCCUGAGAUGAAGAUGUACCGACAUCUCCAUGUGGUCUUCUCUUGUCAGAUGGUCCUCCUGGUGGAAUAGCUUAAAAUCAAUUAUUUAUACAUGAUAAAAGAAUUAAAGUAAAUUAAAUAUAAAAAAAUAUAAUAUAUAAAAUUAAUUUGUCAUGAUGGGAGAUGAUGUGCCUGCCUCAUCUCCGCAUGGCCCCCC
rnacentral:lncRNA from 1 species